rnacentral:rRNA from 1 species
UACGUAGGGUGCAAGCGUUGUCCGGAAUUAUUGGGCGUAAAGAGCUCGUAGGUGGUUUGUCGCGUUGUUCGUGAAAACUCACGGCUUAACUGUGAGCGUGCGGGCGAUACGGGCAGACUGGAGUACUGCAGGGGAGACUGGAAUUCCUGGUGUAGCGGUGGAAUGCGCAGAUAUCAGGAGGAACACCGAUGGCGAAGGCAGGUCACUGGGCCGCAACUGACGCUGAGGAGCGAAAGCAUGGGGAGCGAACAGG